AUACCAGCACCCCGAGUGGUCGGGACGAUUAUUGGGCCUAAAGCAUCCGUAGCCGGUUCUGCAAGUCCCCCGUUAAAUCCAGCUGCUCAACAGAUGGGCCGCGUCGGAUACUACAGAGCUAGGAUGCAGGAGAGGCAAGCGGUACUCAGUGGGCAGGGGUAAAAUGCGUUGAUCCAUUGAAGACCACCAGUGGCGAAGGCGGCGUACUAUAAUGCUCUAGACGGUGAUGGAUGAAAGCUGGGGGAGCAAACCGGAUGAGAUACCCGGGUAGUGCCAGCCGUAAACGAUGCAGACUCGGUGAUGGGUUGGCUUCGCGCUCUCCCAGUGCCGCAGGGAAGCCGUUAAGUCUGCCGCCUGGGUAGUACGGUCGCAAGACUGAAACUCAAAUGAAUUGACGGGG
rnacentral:rRNA from 1 species